AUUUUUUUGUGUCAAUAAGAAUUUUUAUCUUUAGCAAUGCUGAUAAAACUGAAUUUUUUUAAAAAAAGAGUAUUUCCAGCCCUCUAACCGAAUAUUAGAGACUUUUACAAAAGCACUCUCACAAAAUAAUGCUUUUAUAAUCAAUUUAAAAGUCUUUCAAAUCGUUAAUCAUUUUCUAAAGGCGAAAAAGAAGAAUCAUCAUUCUUCAUACCAUUUAAUAAAGCUAUUUUAAUAAAACGCAAUACAA
rnacentral:lncRNA from 1 species